rnacentral:rRNA from 1 species
GACGAACGCUGGCGGCGUGCCUAACACAUGCAAGUCGAACGGUAAGGCCCUCCGGGGUACACGAGUGGCGAACGGGUGAGUAACGCGUGAGUAACCUGCCCUUGACUCUGGGAUAACAGAUGGAAACGUCUGCUAAUACCGGAUACUCAGCCUUGUGGGCAUCCGCAGGGUUGGAAAGCUCCGGCGGUCAAGGAUGGACUCGCGUCCUAUCAGCUAGUUGGUGGGGUAACGGCCUACCAAGGCGACGACGGGUAGCCGGCCUGAGAGGGCGACCGGCCACAUUGGGACUGAGAUACGGCCCAGACUCCUACGGGAGGCAGCAGUGGGGAAUAUUGCACAAUGGGCGAAAGCCUGAUGCAGCAACGCCGCGUGCGGGAUGACGGCCUUCGGGUUGUAAACCGCUUUCAGCAGGGACGAAGCGCAAGUGACGGUACCUGCAGAAGAAGCACCGGCUAACUACGUGCCAGCCGCCGCAGUAACAC